rnacentral:rRNA from 1 species
UAGGGAAUUUUGGGCAAUGGGCGAAAGCCUGACCCAGCGACGUCGCGUGAGUGAUGAAGGCCUUUGGGUCGUAAAGCUCUUUCGGGAGGGAAGAAGGUAUUUACGGUGAAAAUCGUAGAUAUUUGACGGUACCUCAAGAAGAAGCCCCGGCUAAUUACGUGCCAGCAGCCGCGGUAAUACGUAAGGGGCAAGCGUUAUCCGGAAUUAUUGGGCGUAAAGGGCGUGUAGGCGGUGGUGUGUGUCGAUUGUGAAAAACCAGGGCUCAACUCUGGGAUGGCAAUCGAAACUACAUCACUAGAGUGCUGGAGAGGAAGACGGAAUCCCUAGUGUAGCGGUGAAAUGCUUAGAUAUUAGGGGGAACACCCGUGGCGAAGGCGGUCUUCUGGACAGCAACUGACGCUGAGGCGCGAAAGUCAGGGGAGCAAACAGG